ACACGACUACAUUAGAUACCCCUGUAGUCCUAGCCGUAAACGAUACUCGCUAGGUGUCGGCCACGGUGCGACCGUUGUCGGUGCCGUAGGGAAGCCGUGAAGCGAGCCACCUGGGAAGUACGGCCGCAAGGCUGAAACUUAAAGGAAUUGGCGGGGGAGCACAACUACGGGUGGAGCUUGCGGUUUAAUUGGAUUCAACGCCGGAAAUCUUACCGGGACCGACAGCAACAUGAAGGCCAAGCUGAAGACUUUGCCGGAUUAGCUG
rnacentral:rRNA from 1 species